rnacentral:rRNA from 1 species
CCCUUAGAUGUUCUGGGCCGCACGCGCGCUACACUGAUGCAUUCAACAAGCCUAGCCUUGACCGAGAGGUCCGGGUAAUCUUUGAAACUGCAUCGUGAUGGGGCUAGAUUAUUGCAAUUAUUAAUCUUCAACGAGGAAUGCCUAGUAAGCGUGAUUCAUCAAAUCGCGUUGAUUACGUCCCUGCCCUUUGUACACACCGCCCGUCGCUCCUACCGAUUGAAUGUGUUGGUGAGGAGCUCGGAUUGGCAGCAGUUGGUGGUUCGCCACCGGCUAUUGCUGAGAAGUCCUCCAAACCGCCCCAUUUAGAGGAAGGUGAAGUCGUAACA